GUAGGUGGCAAGCGUUGUCCGGAAUUAUUGGGCGUAAAGCGCGCGCAGGCGGUUCUUUAAGUCUGAUGUGAAAGCCCACGGCUCAACCGUGGAGGGUCAUUGGAAACUGGAGAACUUGAGUACAGAAGAGGAAAGCGGAAUUCCACGUGUAGCGGUGAGAUGCGUAGAGAUGUGGAGGAACACCAGUGGCGAAGGCGGCUUUCUGGUCUGUAACUGACGCUGAGGCGCGAAAGCGUGGGGGAGCAAACAGGAUUAGAUACCCUGGUAGUCCACGCCGUAAACGAUGAGUGCUAAGUGUUAGGGGGUUUCCGCCCCUUAGUGCUGCAGCUAACGCAUUAAGCACUCCGCCCUGGGAGUACGGCCGCAAGGCUG
rnacentral:rRNA from 1 species